rnacentral:rRNA from 1 species
UACGGAGGGUGCAAGCGUUAUCCGGAUUCACUGGGUUUAAAGGGUGCGUAGGAGGGCAGGUAAGUCAGUGGUGAAAUCUCCGAGCUUAACUUGGAAACUGCCAUUGAUACUAUCUGUCUUGAAUAUUGUGGAGGUUAGCGGAAUAUGUCAUGUAGCGGUGAAAUGCUUAGAUAUGACAUAGAACACCAAUUGCGAAGGCAGCUGGCUACACAUAUAUUGACUCUGAGGCACGAAAGCGUGGGGAUCAAACAGG